rnacentral:rRNA from 1 species
GAUUAACGCUGGCGGCGUGCAUAACACAUGCAAGUCGAACGAUGAAACUUAACUGAUUUCUUCGGAAUGAUUUUAAGUGGAUUAGUGGCGGACGGUUGAGUAACGCGUGAGUAACCUGCCUUGGAGAAGGGGAUAGCCUUUGGAAACGAAGAAUAAUACCCUAUGAUAUGAUAAUAUCUCAUGAUAUUAUCAUCAAAGAUUUAUCGCUCUAAGAUGGACUUGCGUCUGAUUAGUUAGUUGGUGAGGUAACAGCUCACCAAGGCAGCGAUCAGUAGCCGGCUUGAGAGAGUGUACGGCCACAUUGGGACUGAGACACGGCCCAGACUCCUACGGGAGGCAGCAGUGGGGAAUUUUGCACAAUGGGGGAAACCCUGAUGCAGCGACGCCGCGUGAUUUAGAAGGCCUUCGGGUUGUAAAAAUCUUUUGUAUGGGAAGAAAAUGACAGUACCAUACGAAUAAGGACCGGCUAAUUACGUG